rnacentral:rRNA from 1 species
CGCCAGACUCCUACGGGAGGCAGCAGUGGGGAAUAUUGCACAAUGGGGGAAACCCUGAUGCAGCGACGCCGCGUGAGCGAUGAAGUAUUUCGGUAUGUAAAGCUCUAUCAGCAGGGAAGAAGAUGACGGUACCUGACUAAGAAGCCCCGGCUAACUACGUGCCAGCAGCCGCGGUAAUACGUAGGGGGCAAGCGUUAUCCGGAUUUACUGGGUGUAAAGGGAGCGUAGACGGCGAUGCAAGCCAGAUGUGAAAGCCCGGGGCUCAACCCCGGGACUGCAUUUGGAACUGUGUGGCUGGAGUGUCGGAGAGGCAGGCGGAAUUCCUAGUGUAGCGGUGAAAUGCGUAGAUAUUAGGAGGAACACCAGUGGCGAAGGCGGCCUGCUGGACGAUGACUGACGUUGAGGCUCGAAAGCGUGGGGAGCAAACAGGAUUAGAUACCCCCGUAAC